CUAUACCUGGACACGCCUCAGUCAACAACUCCCUACUUGAAUGAGCAAUGAUACCACAAAACUUGACUUUAAAAAUGACUUAAAAGAUCCUUUAUCAUGUAAUGCUUUU